UACGGGGGGGGCAAGCGUUGUUCGGAAUUACUGGGCGUAAAGGGCUCGUAGGUGGCCAACUAAGUCAGACGUGAAAUCCCUCGGCUUAACCGGGGAACUGCGUCUGAUACUGGAUGGCUUGAGGUUGGGAGAGGGAUGCGGAAUUCCAGGUGUAGCGGUGAAAUGCGUAGAUAGUCUGGAGGAACACCGGUGGCGAAGGCGGCAUCCUGGACCAAUUCUGACACUGAGGAGCGAAAGCCAGGGGAGCAAACGGG
rnacentral:rRNA from 1 species